UGGAUUUCGUGCAAAGCUACACGAGGGCUAUCUGCGCUAGCCAUCCCUAAUUUAGCAGUGAUAAGACUAGAUGAAAGGCAGCUAGUCAACACCACCCAC